rnacentral:rRNA from 1 species
GACGAACGCUGGCGGCGUGCCUAAUACAUGCAAGUAGAACGCUGAAGAGAGGAGCUUGCUCUUCUUGGAUGAGUUGCGAACGGGUGAGUAACGCGUAGGUAACCUGCCUGGUAGCGGGGGAUAACUAUUGGAAACGAUAGCUAAUACCGCAUGAUAUUAAUUAUCGCAUGAUAAUUAAUUGAAAGAUGCAAUUGCAUCACUACCAGAUGGACCUGCGUUGUAUUAGCUAGUUGGUGAGGUAACGGCUCACCAAGGCGACGAUACAUAGCCGACCUGAGAGGGUGAUCGGCCACACUGGGACUGAGACACGGCCCAGACUCCUACGGGAGGCAGCAGUAGGGAAUCUUCGGCAAUGGGGGGAACCCUGACCGAGCAACGCCGCGUGAGUGAAGAAGGUUUUCGGAUCGUAAAGCUCUGUUGUAAGAGAAGGAACGGGUGUGAGAGU